rnacentral:rRNA from 1 species
AGGGUGCAAGCGUUAAUCGGAAUUACUGGGCGUAAAGCGUGCGCAGGCGGUUCGGAAAGAAAGAUGUGAAAUCCCAGAGCUUAACUUUGGAACUGCAUUUUUAACUACCGGGCUAGAGUGUGUCAGAGGGAGGUGGAAUUCCGCGUGUAGCAGUGAAAUGCGUAGAUAUGCGGAGGAACACCGAUGGCGAAGGCAGCCUCCUGGGAUAACACUGACGCUCAUGCACGAAAGCGUGGGGAGCAA